rnacentral:misc_RNA from 1 species
GAUGAAGAACGUAGCGAAAUGCGAUAAGUAAUGUGAAUUGCAGAAUUCAGUGAAUCAUCGAGUCUUUGAACGCACAUUGCGCCCCCUGGUAUUCCGGGGGGCAUGCCUGUCCGAGCGUCAUUGCUGCCCUCAAGCACGGCUUGUGUGUUGGGCUCCGCCCCCCUCCCGGGGGGCGGGCCCGAAAGGCAGCGGCGGCACCGCGUCCGGUCCUCGAGCGUAUGGGGCUUUGUCACCCGCUCUGUAGGCCCGGCCGGCGCCCGCCGGCGACCCCAAUCGAUCUUUCCAGGUUGACCUCGGAUCAGGUAGGGAUACCCGCUGAACUUAAGCAUAUCAAUAAGCGGAGGA